rfam:Stegodyphus mimosarum contig94556, whole genome shotgun sequence.
GCCUUCGUAGUGUAGUGGUCAGCGCGCUCGACGCGUAUUCGUGAGGUCAGUGGUUCGAGUCCCGGCAAGGGCA